GACGAACGCUGGCGGCGUGCUUAACACAUGCAAGUCGAACGGAAAGGCCCUGCUUUUGUGGGGUGCUCGAGUGGCGAACGGGUGAGUAACACGUGAGUAACCUGCCCUUGACUUUGGGAUAACUUCAGGAAACUGGGGCUAAUACCGGAUAGGAGCUCCUGCUGCAUGGUGGGGGUUGGAAAGUUUCGGCGGUUGGGGAUGGACUCGCGGCUUAUCAGCUUGUUGGUGGGGUAGUGGCUUACCAAGGCUUUGACGGGUAGCCGGCCUGAGAGGGUGACCGGCCACAUUGGGACUGAGAUACGGCCCAGACUCCUACGGGAGGCAGCAGUGGGGAAUAUUGCACAAUGGGCGGAAGCCUGAUGCAGCAACGCCGCGUGCGGGAUGACGGCCUUCGGGUUGUAAACCGCUUUCGCCUGUGACGAAGCGUGAGUGACGGUAAUGGGUAAAGAAGCACCGGCUAACUACGUGCCAGCAGCCGCGGUGAUACGUAGGGUGCGAGCGUUGUCCGGAUUUAUUGGGCGUAAAGGGCUCGUGGGUGGUUGAUCGCGUCGGAAGUGUAAUCUUGGGGCUUAACCCUGAGCGUGCUUUCGAUACGGGUUGACUUGAGGAAGGUAGGGGAGAAUGGAAUUCCUGGUGGAGCGGUGGAAUGCGCAGAUAUCAGGAGGAACACCAGUGGCGAAGGCGGUUCUCUGGGCCUUUCCUGACGCUGAGGAGCGAAAGCGUGGGGAGCGAACAGGCUUAGGUACCCUGGUAGUCCACGCUGUAAACGGUGGGUACUAGGUGUGGGGUCCAUUCCACGGGUUCCGUGCCGUAGCUAACGCUUUAAGUACCCCGCCUGGGGAGUACGGCCGCAAGGCUAAAACUCAAAGGAAUUGACGGGGCCCCGCACAAGCGGCGGAGCAUGCGGAUUAAUUCGAUGCAACGCGUAGAACCUUACCUGGGUUUGACAUGGAUCGGGAGUGCUCAGAGAUGGGUGUGCCUCUUUUGGGGUCGGUUCACAGGUGGUGCAUGGCUGUCGUCAGCUCGUGUCGUGAGAUGUUGGGUUAAGUCCCGCAACGAGCGCAACCCUUGUUCACUGUUGCCAGCACGUUAUGGUGGGGACUCAGUGGAGACCGCCGGGGUCAACUCGGAGGAAGGUGGGGAUGACGUCAAGUCGUCAUGCCCCUUAUGUCCAGGGCUUCACGCAUGCUACAAUGGCUGGUACAGAGAGUGGCGAGCCUGUGAGGGUGAGCGAAUCUCGGAAAGCCGGUCUCAGUUCGGAUUGGGGUCUGCAACUCGACCUCAUGAAGUCGGAGUCGCUAGUAAUCGCAGAUCAGCAACGCUGCGGUGAAUACGUUCCCGGG
rnacentral:rRNA from 1 species